GAUAUCUCGGCUCUCGCAUCGAUGAAGAACGUAGCGAAAUGCGAUACCUGGUGUGAAUUGCAGAAUCCCGCGAACCAUCGAGUCUUUGAACGCAAGUUGCGCCCGAGGCCACUCGGCCGAGGGCACGCCCGCCUGGGGGGCA
rnacentral:rRNA from 1 species